GCUUUUUCUGGGAACAGCAAAGCAGAAAGAUAGGUCAGCUUUAUCACCCUGGAUUCAGAGGACAGAGAGGCACAGAAAAAAAUGUAUUAUGUCAGUGGCUUUUCACCCCUCUUCAGUCAUGGGCAACUUUGGGAGAACCGGAGGAAGGAAGGCUGUGGACCCUCUCCUAGAAAAACGCACCGACAGAAGUUUUCAGAUGCUCUAUAGGUGUCUCUUGGACCCAGGAAGGCUGUUCAUGGACCCCGGGUCAAGAAACCAUGGACCGUGGGUCAAGAAACCCUGCUUAGGUCAUGCCUUGAAUGUCCUUCAAGUGGUUCCAAAUGCUGAUUCUAACUUCCUCACUGGUGCAAAUAUAAUUAUUCCCCAGAAGGGGUUGCUGCCAUUUCUCACAUAUUAUCGACCCUCCUUUAGGAGGGCACAGGUUUGGAGCUCUUUCCACAGUGGCAGUGAUGGACUUGGCACCUAGUUUCCCUUGUAUCAAAGGGAACGUGUUGGGGGGAAGAAACAAAAACAAAAACAAAAACAGCUGGCCUGAGACAGACUAAAGUGUUCAGAGGACAAGGAAAACACAGCCACGCCCAUACUCAUUUGACACAGACUCCAGCUUCUUCACCCUCCUUCCCUGCUGAAGUGGUACGUUUAUAACAUACUUUUCUUUCAAAACACAUGUGUUUGAGCUAGCGCUACGGCGUGUUUAGGCUGUAUUAUCCACCAAAGACGGACAAAAGUCUAAGUCAGAAUGAUGCGGUCACUGUCGAAAAUGACAGGAGCUUCAUUUCAGAUCAGCUUCUCAAGGAGCCAGCAGGAGGUGAGAGCAUUUAGAUUGGGUAUUAGACUGACAUCACUCAAAGAAACAGUGCCAACGGAGUCCAGAGGUAGACUGGAAGCAUCAUUGGUAUUCCCCUUGAAUGCACUCAAGACAACACUGGCAUUGCCUCUGGACUAAAUAAUCUUUAAGGUCUUCUCAAAGCUCCCAGGACUGGCAUGUCAAUUGUCAUCAGGGGGCCCUAGCACUAUAACCCAACCAAAACCAUAUAAUACCAGAAUGAAUGGGCCUUUCUACACCACCUAGAUUGAUGUUCUGCAAAAAUACACCACAUGUAGGGCACUGGAUCUAGGAAAUCCUUACCAUGUGUUCUGUUUCCUAUUCAUUGCCUUCUGGUGAAUUAGAAGGCAGAGAACCUCAGAGCCCAGAGAGACCUUUGCAUUCAUACACCUCAUUUUACAGAUGCAAAACCAGAAGCCAGGAGGGGUUGAGGGACCAGCAUAAAAUGAUUUUGCUAAUUAGAGGCAAAGCCGAGAUUAGACUUCUGAUGUGAUUAACUCCCAGUCCAGUGCCUACUGAUGGAACCAGACUUCAAGUUACUCAACAAUUUCCCAGCUCAAACAAAGUUGCCAGAGUCCCCCCCGCCCCGCCCCUCCAACCUACCCCCUCAUAACAAAAUCAACCAGACUAACCCCCAUAAAGAACAGGCCAUCCUGCUUCCCUUCUAGAAAGGAAGACUGAGAAUAAAAAAGUGUCACUAUGCGAUCUGUCCGGGAAUUCCUAACCUUCAGUAAUAAGCAGUGACACCUCUGUGACAUCUUCCCAGGACAGAGAGAGUCAAUUGUGUCUUCUAAGAUGAGCCACUUGGGCCAACCAUGGAAAUGCCAGUCAAGAAGAUGACUAGGUUUCCCCUCCUUCCAUCCCCUCCUCCCCAACUGAGGGAGAAAUGAUGGUGUUGCUUGUUCACUGGAAAUUUUCAGGGAUGAGGAAGCUGAAAGGAGGAAAGGCUGCUGUCCGCUCUAAUCACGUCUCAGAAACAUUCAGCCCCACCUGACUGGGGUCCCAGUCCCAGGUAUGCUCAACGCGGCAAAACGGAGGACACAGGGCAGUCAGUAAGAGCAGUUACAGUGGAGAACAUAUUUUGGCACAAAUCUAAGUCAGCACGAUUUCCACCCCCGUUCUGGGAUCAGUAUAUUCCCUAAAAACACACAAGAAGACCCAAAGAAAUACAAUCCUUCCUUAUGAAAAGUAGUCAUGUGCUCUAACUCCCAAGAGGGCACUCAGUGUAUAAAGUGGGAACAGGGAAAAAUUAUUUGAUCCAUGCAUGUUUACAUGGUCCCCUCCUCAUCUCCUCAGAAAAGCCAUCUAGAAAAAAAAAGUGAUAAUUUACUGAUAUUGUUGAAACUGCAAAUGAAAAUUCCAAGUAUUUUUGCACGGAAGUAUUGUGACCAGAUAAAUCACUUGAGAACCACGGGAAUGUCUUCCCCAUUUCAUAAAUUUCCAGACUGGAUAUGAUAGCAGGACUGGGUGACGGCAGUUGAGUCCCUCUGAGAAUCCAGGAACUUAUGUAUCACUGGCCUAGUUUUGUUUAUAGAUAUAUAUAAAAAUCCAAAGCCCGAAAGGAGAUUUUGCCAUCAAUCAUUAAAUUCAUCUAAUUGCUGGCAAUGGACACACCAUUCCCCCCGCCGCCACACACACACCAUAAAUUGUCCUCCACAAACACAUAAUAAAAGUAAAGUGAACUAAAUGUUUGUGAGACACUUGUGAGGUCAUAAAUUAGGGUGGGGACACAACUGCGACCCACAUGAGGCUGAGGUUGGCAAAGGAGGACUGCAAGUAUGUGAAAGCUGGGGGACAUUCCCCGGCUCUCAGAGGUGGGCAGAAGGGACGAUGGCACAGGACAGGAUUCGUUUGGUGGCAGAGAGGGAGGUAUGAAUAACCCAGAGGGCAGACACUUGUGAGCCUCUGGUGGGCUGCCCAGAGUGCCUGUCUACAUGCCCAGGAAUCAAGGCUCACAUACAAAGACUGUUGAUGCUUACGGUCAAAUUCACUUCUGCCAAGGAACGGAAACAACCGACAGAGGGGACAUUGCUCUCUCUACAUGAAGCCACCGCGACAAACACGUAGGAUCUGAACAUGAGGAGACAGGAUGUGAGCACGGCAAAGCCCAUCUUUCGAGGGUUCCUUUUGAUAUUUGGGGGGCAGGUAUCAUGCGGGAAGAAAGCGUAGGCACAUUCUGGUGCUUCAGGGGAACAGGAACUGGUCCUGGUGUUCACGAUCAAGUGAGAGCACACACAUGCUGAGAGGCAAUCGGCAUGCGGCUAAAAUCUUUUCCAUUCUUUGACUUUCCUUUUACUAGAAUCUGUGUCUGCGAUGGCACAUCAUGGACACAUCUGCGUAAACAGUUGCAGCCCGUUAAGUGCAGCCAAGGAUGUAGACAGAGCACAACCUCCCCCCUCUCUCAGACAGAACGGCAGGGGCACACUCAGAACUUCCAUAUUCUUCCCUCUCUGAGUCAUGGCCACGGCAGCUUUUCCUUGUAGGACAAUGGUUGACGACGAGCUUUGUCUGAGACCCAAGCCGUCCUGCCCAUCCGGUUCCCUGUUACUGCUGCUCCCUACACUUCUCCAGCCCACGCACCCCCACACCCCACUCCCAAGAGGGGUGGGACCAACGGCAGCAUCAGCAAGUGUCUCUUCCUCAUUCAGGUUUGCCGGGGAGUGUGUUCUCCUGCACCCUUUGGGUGUGUGGAAAGGAAUUGUGUUCAUUUCUCCCUCAGCUCCGAUCAGUUCACAAUCAACAAGUAUUUGCAGUAUUUACACCUCCAAAGUGCUUAGCACGGAGCAGGUGUGGCAGGGGUACAGGAAAAGAAAGGCACAGAAGCUCUAUAUUCAAGGCCCUUAGGCUUUACUUAAAAAGAACAACCCAUCAUUAUGCAACAUAAGACAGGUGCACCACUGAAGAUGUGUGCCAUGUCACAUAUACAAUCUAGGAUCCACAAGUCCCUCCUCUGGGCUCCCGUAGCUAAUGGUGUGCUUAUUGUAACAGCAUUUACUGAGUGCUGAUUAUGUAUCAGGCAGGUUCUCAUGCAUCAACUAAGUGUCAAAAGAGAUAGCUACUAUUUUUCAAAUAAAGAAAAUGGGCAUAAAAUAGACAUAGGUCAACAGAAGAGAAUAAAAAAAAAAAACCACAGAAAUAAACCCAUAGGUAGAUGGUCAAUUAAUCUUCAGCAAAGGAGGCAAGAAUAUCCAACGGCAAAAGUCUCUUCAAUAAAUGGCGCUGGGAAAACUGGGCAGCAGCACACAAAAGAAUAAAACUGGACCAUUUUCUUACACCACACACAAAAGUAAAUUCAAAAUGGACUAAAGACCUAAAUGUGAGACUUGAAACCACAAAAGUCCUAGAAGACAGCACAGGCAGUCAUUUCUCUGACACCAGCCAUAGCAACAUUUUUCUAGAUAUGUCUCCUGAGGCAAGGGAAACAAAAGCAAAAUUAAACUAUUGGGACUCCAUCAAAAUAAAAAGCUUCUGCACAGUGAAGGAAACCAUCAACAAAGCUAAAAGGCAACCUACUGAAGGGGAGAAGAUAUUUGCAAAUGACAUGUCUGAUAAAGGGUUUGUGUCCAAAAUAAAGAACUUGUACAACUCAACACCCCAAAAAACAAAUAAUCCAGUAUAAAAAUAGGCAGAACACAUUAAGAGCCAUUUCUCCAGAGAAGACAUCCAUAUGGCCAACAGACACAUGAAAAGAUUCUCAUGAUCACUUACCGUCAGGGAAAUGCAAAUUGAAACUACAGUAAGAUAUCACCUCACAUCUGUCAGAAUGGCUUAAGUCAAAAACACAAGAAACAACAAGUGUUGGUGAGGGUGUGGAGAAAUGGGAACCCUCUUGCACUGUUGGUGGGGAUGCAAACUGGUGCAGCUACGGUGGAAAAUAGUAGGGAGGUUCCUCAACACUUAAAAAUAGAACUACCCUAUGAUCAAGUAAUCACACUACUGGGCAUUUCCACAAAAAAUACAAAAUCACUAAAUCAAGAGAUAUGUUCACACCUAUGGUUUAUUGCAGAAUUAUUUACAAUAGCCAAAUUAUGGAAGCAGCCCAAGUGUCCAUUGAUAAAUAUUUAUGCAAUGGAAUACUAUUCGAGCAGGAAAAAAGAAUGAAAUCUUGCCAUUUGUAACAACAUGGGUAUUAGGCUAAGUGAAAUGAUUCAGUCGGAGAAAGGCAAAUGCCAUGUGACUUCAUUCAUAGGUGGAAUUUAAGAAACAAAACAAAUGAGCAAAGGAAAAAAAAAUAGAGACAAACCAAGAAUCAGACUCAACUAUAGGGAACAAACUAAUGGUCACCAGAGGGGAGGCGGGUGGGGGAUGGGUGAGAUAGGUGAUGGGGAUUAAGGAGGGCACUUGCAAUGAGCCCUGGGUGAUGUAUGGAAGUGAUGAAUUACUAUGUUGUACACCUGAAACUAACAUUACACUGUAUGAUAAUGACCCUGGAAUUAAAAUAAGAGCUUAAUUUUAAAAUUUUGAAGUCAAAAAAUAAAAGCAAAUAAAUAAUUUUUUCAAGGAAAAAGCUCAAGGUCCCAUGGCUGGUAAGUGGUGGAUCAGGCCUCAUACACUGAGGCAGUGCAGCUUCCGAGGCAGCCUACCUUAGCCCCGGACUCAUAAUGACAUCGGUCUUUGUACAGGUCUGUUUCUUCCUGGGGAAGGAGUAGCUCCUGUUUAUUGCCACAGUUCUCAACCCCACAGUGUUGAGAACACAGAAGCCAUUAUUUGAUAGUUGCUUAUUAAAGUGAUCUGGGGAGGGGCACCUGGGUGGCUCAGUCGGUUAAGCAACUGACUCUUGGUUUGGGCUCGGGUCAUGAUCGCACGGUUCAUGAGUUUGAGCCCUGCAUCGGGCUCUGUGCAGACAGCGUGGAACCUACUUGAGAUUCUCUCUCUUUCCCUAUUUCUCUCUCUCUCUUUCUCUCUCUCUCUCUCUCUCUCUCUCUCUCGCUUCCCCUCCCCUGCUCACGUGGUCUCUGUCUCUCUCUAAACAAAUAAACUUUAAAAAAAAGUGAUAUGGGGAGGGGUAUGCAGGAGCAGCCAAGAUGGGGAGCUGGAGAGCAAAAUACACAAAGCUGUCAGAGCAGCAGCAAGGCCAGGUGGAAACCGGACGUCACCAGCCUGCAGAAGCCCCAGUUGGCCUGGCAUGGAGCCACCUUCCCUCCAGGCAGCUCUGCUGUGGGGCCGGAGCUAAGGAAGCAGGAUGGGGACAAGCACAGGGACACAGAUGGAGGUGAGUGUGGAGGGCAGGGGGACAAGCGCAAGAGGAACACGAGGCACAGCCUCUCCAUUUUGCCUCCUGUGUGCAAACGGCAGCUGUUGAGGCAGCCAGGAUGUGAGAGCAGUGAGCUAGCAAUUUACCCAAUGCUAUCUCCGUGGCCUAUGAAAAUUGAAGAAAAAAAAAAAAAGAAAACAGAAACUAAGUGCUGGCGAGGACGUAGAGAAAAUUGGAACCCAUGUGCAUUGCUGGUGGGAAUGUAAAAUUGUGCAGCAUUGUGGAAAACAGUCUGGCAGGUCCUCAAACUAUGAAACGUAGAAUUACCAUAUGACCCAGCAAUUCCACUUCUAGAUGCGUACUCAAAGGAAAUGAAAACAGGGAGUCAAACAGAUAUUCGGAUACCUGCACUCACAGCGGCGGUGUUCACGAUAGCUAAAAGGCGAAGCAACCCAAGUGUUCACUAACAGAUGAAUAGGUAAACAAAAUGUAGUACACAUACACCCAGUGGACUAUCAUUCAGCCUUAAAAAGGAAAGAGAUUCUGGAGUGUCUGGGUGGUUUAGUCGGUUGAGAGUCCGACUUUGGCUCAGGCCGUGAUCUCACAGUUCAUGAGUUCGAGCCCUGCAUCAGGCUUUGUGCUGACAGUGUGGAGCCUGGAGCCUGCUUCGAGUUCUGCGUCUCCCUCUCUCUGCCCCUCCCCUGUCCUGCUCUGUCUCUUCUCUCUCUCUC